rnacentral:rRNA from 1 species
UACGUAGGGGGCAAGCGUUGUCCGGAUUUAUUGGGCGUAAAGAGCGUGUAGGCGGCUUUACAGGUCCGUUGUGAAAACUCGAGGCUCAACCUCGAGACGCCGGUGGAAACCGUAAAGCUAGAGUCCGGAAGAGGAGAGUGGAAUUCCUGGUGUAGCGGUGAAAUGCGCAGAUAUCAGGAGGAACACCCGUGGCGAAGGCGGCACUCUGGAUCGGCCCUGACGCUGAGGCGCGAAAGCGUGGGGAGCGAACGGG